GGAGACAUAGCUCAGCUGGGAGAGCGAGCGACUGAAGUUCAGUCAUCAGGACUCACAUCUGUGAGCUCAUCGCUAGGUCGGGUGUUCGAUCCACCCUGGCUCCA